CUUGUGUCUAGAGGCGUGCACGUGACCUGUUGUGGCUAAUCGGUGCAGCAGGGGAAUGCACAGCGCAAUUGGUGUAUCCUUCUGGGGAAGUGAGUGCUGCCUCCAGCCCUCGACCAUCUUCAUUACUUGCACGAGGAUGGACGAUUCCUUCUGGGGAAGUGAGUGCUGCCUCCAGCCCUCGACAAUCUUCAUUACUUGCACGAGGAAGGACGAUUUGAGAGCGGCGUGGAGGGGCAGACGAUGGCGAGCGCGACCAAAUUGAUGCGCAGUUCAGAGCUCUAUGCCCCCUUUCUCCAUAACUUUCC